UACGUAGGGGGCGAGCGUUGUCCGGAUUUAUUGGGCGUAAAGAGCGUGUAGGCGGCCAGGUAGGUCUGCUGUGAAAACUCGAGGCUCAACCUCGAGACGUCGGCGGAAACCAUCUGGCUAGAGUCCGGAAGAGGAGAGUGGAAUUCCUGGUGUAGCGGUGAAAUGCGCAGAUAUCUGGAGGAACACCGGUGGCGAAAGCGCGAGACUGGGCCAUAACUGACGCUGAGGAACGAAAGCCAGGGGAGCGAAAGGG
rnacentral:rRNA from 1 species